AGUUACCUCGACUGCAAUGAUGACCGACCUCGCUGGCGUAGUGUAUGGCAGCGAGCUCAUAUAACACCCAUCAUUGUCGUCACCCAGUGGCAGCCCCGAUCGACUCGAGCCGCUCGGUAGGUACGGGGGAAUGGGUUAAUGCACACUGUCACACUGUCGUACACAUCGCUCUGGUCAGACUAGGUGCACCGUUUGGUCGUUCGGUGGUAAAGUGCUACCUCGACCGCAAUGACGACCGACCGCGCUGGCGUAGUGUAUUGCAGCGAGCUCAUAUAACACCCAUCGUUGUCGUCACCCAGUGGCAGCCCCGAUCGACACCAGCGGUCGGUGGCUAUGGGAAUGGGUCCGUGCACACCACUAACAGGCUAUGCAUCACUCUAUUCGCACCAAGUCCGUCGGUUGGUGGUAAAAAGUUACCUCGACCGCAGUGACGACCGACCUCGCUGACGUAGUGUACGGCAGCGAGCUCAUAUAACACCCAUCAUUGUCGUCACCUAGUGGCAGCCCCGAUCGACACCAGCGGUCGGUGGGUAUGGGAAUGGGUCCGUGCACACCACUAACAGGCUAUGCAUCGCUCCACUCACACCAAGUACGUCGGUUGGUGGUAAAAAGUUACCUCGACCACACUGACGACCGACCUCGCUGACGUAGUGUAUGGCAGCGAGCUCCCAUGUCACCCAUGGUGGUCGUCAUCUAGUGGCAGCCCCGACCGACACCAGUUAGUGCACACCACUAACAGGCUAUGCAUCACUCCACUAGCACCAAGUCCGUCGGUUGGUGGUAAAAAGUUACCUCGACCGCAGUGACGACCGACCUCGCUGACGUAGUGUAUGGCAGCGAGCUCAUAUAACACCCAUCAUUGUCGUCACCCAGUGGCAGCCCCGACCGACACCAGCGGUCGGUGGCUGUGGGAAUGGGUCCGUGCACACCACUAGUGGGCCAUGCAUCGCUCCAUUCGCACCAAGUCCGUCGGUUGGUGGUAAGAAGUUACCUCGACUGCAAUGAUGACCGACCGCGCUGGCGUAGUGUAUGGCAGCGAGCUCAUAUAACACCCAUCAUUGUCGUCACCUAGUGGCAGCCCCGACCGACACCAGCGGUCGGUGGCUAUGGGAAUGGGUCCGUACACACCACUAACAGGCUAUGCAUCACUCUAUUCGCACCAAGUCCGUCGGUUGGUGGCAAGAAGUUACCUCGACCACACUGACGACCGACCUCGCUGACGUAGUGUAUGGCAGCGAGCUCCCAUGUCACCCAUGGUGGUCGUCGCCUACCACCGACACCAGCGGUCGGUGGCUAUGGGAAUGGGUCCGUGCACAUCACCAACAGGCUAUGCAUCGCUCCACUCAGACCAAGUCCGUCGGUUGGUGGUAAAAAGUUACCUCGACCACACUGACGACCGACCUCGCUGACGUAGUGUACGGCAGCGAGCUCAUAUAACACCCAUCAUUGUCGUCACCUAGUGGCAGCCCCGACCGACACCAGCGGUCGGUGGGUAUGGGAAUGGGUCCGUGCACACCACUAACAGGCUAUGCAUCGUUCCAUUAGCACCAAGUCCGUCGGUUGGUGGUAAAAAGUUACCUCGACCACACUGACGACCGACCUCGCUGACGUAGUGUAUGGCAGCGAGCUCCCAUGUCACCCGUGGUGGUCGUCAUCUGGUGGCAGCCCCGACCGACACCAGCGGUCGGUGGGUAUGGGAAUGGGUCCGUGCACACCACUAACAGGCUAUGCAUCGCUCCACUCACACCAAGUCCGUCGGUUGGUGGUAAAAAGUUACCUCGACCACACUGACGACCGACCUCGCUGACGUAGUGUAUGGCAGCGAGCUCCCAUGUCACCCGUGGUGGUCGUCAUCUGGUGGCAGCCCCGACCGACACCAGCGGUCGGUGGCUGUGGGAAUGGGUCCGUGCACACCACUAACAGGCAAUGCAUCGCUCCACUCACACCAAGUCCGUCGGUUGGUGGUAAAAAGUUACCUCGACCACACUGACGACCGACCUCGCUGACGUAGUGUACGGCAGCGAGCUCAUAUAACACCCAUCAUUGUCGUCACCCAGUGGCAGCCCCGACCGACACCAGCGGUCGGUGGCUGUGGGAAUGGGUCCGUGCACACCACUAGUGGGCCAUGCAUCGCUCCAUUCGCACCAAGUCCGUCGGUUGGUGGUAAGAAGUUACCUCGACUGCAAUGAUGACCGACCGCGCUGGCGUAGUGUAUGGCAGCGAGCUCAUAUAACACCCAUCAUUGUCGUCACCUAGUGGCAGCCCCGACCGACACCAGCGGUCGGUGGCUAUGGGAAUGGGUCCGUACACACCACUAACAGGCUAUGCAUCACUGUAUUCGCACCAAGUCCGUCGGUUGGUGGCAAGAAGUUACCUCGACCACACUGACGACCGACCUCGCUGACGUAGUGUAUGGCAGCGAGCUCCCAUGUCACCCAUGGUGGCCGUCCCGUACGGGCGACCCUGACCGACAACGUCGAUCGGUGGCUAUGGGAAUGGGUCCGUGCACACCACUAGUGGGCCAUGCAUCGCUCCAUUCGCACCAAGUCCGUCGGUUGGUGGUAAAAAGUUACCUCGACCACACUGACGACCGACCUCGCUGACGUAGUGUAUGGCAGCGAGCUCCCAUGUCACCCAUGGUGGUCGUCGCCUACCACCGACACCAGCGGUCGGUGGCUAUGGGAAUGGGUCCGUACACACCACUAACAGGCUAUGCAUCGCUCCACUCACACCAAGUCCGU